ACUCCUACGGGAGGCAGCAGUGGGGAAUUUUGGACAAUGGGCGAAAGCCUGAUCCAGCCAUUCCGCGUGAGUGAAGAAGGCCUUCGGGUUGUAAAGCUCUUUCGCAAGGGAAGAAACGAUGCAGUCGAAUAAACUGUGUUAAUGACGGUACCUUGAUAAGAAGCACCGGCUAACUACGUGCCAGCAGCCGCGGUAAUACGGAGGGUGCAAGCGU
rnacentral:rRNA from 1 species